AGCGAACGCUGGCGGCAGGCCUAACACAUGCAAGUCGAACGAACCCUUCGGGGUUAGUGGCGGACGGGUGAGUAACACGUGGGAACGUGCCUUUAGGUUCGGAAUAACUCAGGGAAACUUGUGCUAAUACCGAAUGUGCCCUUCGGGGGAAAGAUUUAUCGCCUUUAGAGCGGCCCGCGUCUGAUUAGUUAGUUGGUGAGGUAAUGGCUCACCAAGGCUACGAUCAGUAGCUGGUCUGAGAGGAUGACCAGACACAUUGGGACUGAGACACGGCCCAAACUCCUACGGGAGGCAGCAGAGGGGAAUCGAGCGCAAUGGGCGAAAGCCUGACGCAGCCAUGCCGCGUGGAUGAUGAAGGUCUUAGGAUUGUAAAAUCCUUUCACCGGUGAAGAUAAUGACUGUAGCCGGAGAAGAAGCCCCGGCUAACUUCGUGCCAGCCGCCGCCGUAACAC
rnacentral:rRNA from 1 species